CAGUCGCCACGGGAAUACGAAGGGGGCUAGCGUUGUUCGGAAUUACUGGGCGUAAAGCGCACGUAGGCGGAUACUUAAGUCAGGGGUGAAAUCCCGGGGCUCAACCCCGGAACUGCCUUUGAUACUGGGUAUCUCGAGUCCGGAAGAGGUGAGUGGAAUUCCGAGUGUAGAGGUGAAAUUCGUAGAUAUUCGGAGGAACACCAGUGGCGAAGGCGGCUUACUGGUCUAGUACUGACGCUGAGGUGCGAAAGCGUGGGGAGCAAACAGGAUUAGAGACCCCGGUAGUCCCUGUCUCUUAUAC
rnacentral:rRNA from 1 species